rnacentral:ncRNA from 1 species
UGGCUCAUUAWAUCAGUUAUCGUUUAUUUGAUAGCGUCCAGAGUUAUUAAUACUAGUCUGCAGGGCAGGCAACACCGUCAAAUUGCGGGGACCUCCUAAAGGCUGCACCACUCCCUGUACCUAGAAAUAGGUAUGGCUUGUUACAGUGUGCAGCAUGAUCGGGCACCGCCUGAGAAAUGGACAAUCCGCAGCCAAUCCCUACCGCUCUCCGCAGCCACGGGUGCAGUUCACAGACUAGACGUCGGUGGGUCUCAGGACUUAAGAUAUAGUCGAGCAGCCGCUGAAAGGGGGCUGAGAACCGCAGAUACCGUCGUAGUCUCAAA